rnacentral:lncRNA from 1 species
ACAUUUUCCCCUUCUCGCCCUUAGAGUCACAUAUACUCAGGAGCGGAGGAAAUAUCUAGAAGUCAGCCUGGAGUUAGUGGGGAAGAGCGUGACCCCUAAAAGGCAGAGGAGUUUACCCUUUAUUCAAAUAAUAAAUAGACAUUUAAAUAAUCACUAUAUACAGCUGGACAAAGCCACCACGUCACUGAUUUCACACAGUGAUUAAAACCGCUGAAAGCACACACACAUCUACCCCGCACCCCGCCUCCCCACAGAACCGGCCUCCGGCUGGAACGUCCUGUUCUGGGUCUGGGUACAACCGUCUGCAUUUUCCCCUCUCCCUCUGGCUACCCGUCCUUUCUGGAGCACAAAAGACAGUUUGUGAGCAGCACUUCAAAUAAGGACAAUGCCUUUUCCAGAAGCUGAGCCGCACGCCUGCUCACACCUUACUGGAAAGCUGAACACAACUGCCGCAGCUGUGCUUCAGAAAGACUACGGGGUGUGUGUGUAUAAGCGUGAAUGUGUUUAAGGGUGCAUUUGACAGCGCAAGGACGCGACUGUGAGAGCUGAGAGCAUGCGUGUGUGUGCUUGAGGGUAACCCCGUGUGAGUAUAGGCAUGUGUGUGUGUUUGUGAACGUGGGGGUGGGGAGUUAACGUUUCCUUGGGUCUGCAGACUUUCCAGAGACAUGGUGUCUACUUAGAAGAAACAAAAUCAUAAAUGCAGCACCGUGUCCAGUUCUGCACCAGACGGCCACCUUCCUGGUCCCCCCACACCUGCCUGUCACCCGCUGCUCCAACCAGAGCAGCCCGAACCCAACACCCACAGGCGACAACCAACGACAGGGGCCUGCUCCCGGCAGGGGGUCUCCGGGACCCUCAAGAAACUCAGGGGUGGGGCCGAGAGGCAUUUUCUCCGCUGCGCUCCCACCCCCACGAUCGCCAAGGACACGGGUGGCCGCCAAAGAGGCCAGAUGGUGCGGAAGGCAGACCUGCGGGGUGGAGGCCCCGGCGUGGGAGAGGGCGAGGUCGGCGGCUGGCCCCCGCCCCGGGCAGAUGGUCCGCGGAGUCGGGGCGAGGCGGGCCCCUGGCUCACAGAAGGCCGGAGGUGCGCGGUGGCCGUCGGCGGAUCCGGAGGCGGGUGCGCGGUCACAGGGUGCUCAGGUGCGGCAGCGCGUCCAGGGACCCGGCUCGGUCGCGCGCGGCGGCCGCAGACUCCACGCCGCGCAGCCACUCGGUGCACUUGCGCACCAGGCCCUCGUCGGCGGCCGCGGCCUCCUCCUCGUACUCCACGUCGUCGUACUUGUGCCGGUCGUUGAGCAGCGACACCUUGAGCAGCGGGCGCAGAGUCACUGUAUGA